rnacentral:rRNA from 1 species
UCUUCGGCAAUGGGGGCAACCCUGACCGAGCAACGCCGCGUGAGUGAAGAAGGUUUUCGGAUCGUAAAGCUCUGUUGUAAGGCAAGAACGGGUGUGAGAGUGGAAAAUUCACACUGUGACGGGAGCUUACCAGAACGGGACGGCUAACUACGUGCCAGCAGCCGCGGUAAUACGUAGGUCCCUAGCGUUGUCCGGAUUUAUUGGGCGUAAAGCGAGCGCAGGCGGUUUGAUAAGUCUGAAGUUAAAGGCUGUGGCUCAACCAUAGUUCGCUUUGGAAACUGUCAAACUUGAGUGCAGAAGGGGAGAGUGGAAUUCCAUGUGUAGCGGUGAAAUGCGUAGAUAUAUGGAGGAACACCGGUGGCGAAAGCGGCUCUCUGGUCUGUAACUGACGCUGAGGCUCGAAAGCGUGGGGAGCGAACAGG